AGAGGCUGCCUCGGGACGGCUCUGCCCCAGGGAGCGUGGGGCCAUCUGAGCCAAACAGAAUAGAGGGCUUGGACACAGCCCAGGGUGUGAGUUGAGCUCUGAAUGUCAAGACCAGUCCUGGGCGAGGAAACUGAAGCUCUGAGAGAACUAGCUCCCCUGAGCCGUGCAGCUGGAAAGUGCUGCGCCGACAGCAGAGCUGGGACUCUUUGCAAUCCCAUUUUCCACUGCUUUGGUCAGGGAGUGAGUCCCCUGAUGUCAUCCGAGGAUAUGAGGCAUCGCUAAAUCUGGCCAUUCCCUGAAGCACCCAGCCUCACCAACUUCCUGAAGCAUGGAUGAACGCUGCUGCCACAAAUUUGCUGUGACAGCCGCUGACAAGGAGAGCGAGUGAUGUUUGUGCCAUCCUGCUGAGCACGAGGGAGCUGCUUGGGG
rnacentral:lncRNA from 1 species